AGUAACGCGUGAGGAACCUGCCUCAAAGAGGGGGACAACAGUUGGAAACGACUGCUAAUACCGCAUAAGCCCACAGCUCGGCAUCGAGCAGAGGGAAAAGGAGUGAUCCGCUUUGAGAUGGCCUCGCGUCCGAUUAGCUAGUUGGUGAGGUAACGGCCCACCAAGGCGACGAUCGGUAGCCGGACUGAGAGGUUGAACGGCCACAUCGGGACUGAGACACGGCCCAG
rnacentral:rRNA from 1 species